ACCGCCUCCCCACUAUAAAACAAAAAUUCUGUAUUGCUAGCUGCCUGAAAGGAUCAUCCACGUAAUUCUCUCUCUCGAAGCACAACGCCCUCAAAAUAAACAAAUGGUCCAUACCCUCUCUCUCUACCUCUCCGCCAAAAAUCAUUCUCUCCAAUCAGAAUUAGGAUCCUGUCGCUGUCAAACCACCACCACCACCACCAGUCCCUGUUCCGUUACUGCCGUUGCAAAGACCCCUCCUGUCCCUGUUUUUGCUGCUGUGCUCUCUGAACUUUCUGAUUUUAUAGAAAAUGGACUCUAAAUUAAAUCUAGGGUUUCACCGUGCACAAAUAGUCGACGAUUCAAUCUCUCUCCAGCUCGACUCUAGCCUCCGCGACCUCCCCACCGCCAACCCGGUUUCACCCGUUCCUCUCCAAUUGCUCGAGCCAGUGACCGAGUCUCACUACUGCAAUAACCAAAACGUCGAGAAAGAAGAAGACGACGAUGACAGAGAUGUCGAGGAGUUUAGGAUAUUAGGGCACUCUUUGUGUUUCAAACGCCGAAGAGAGAGCGAUUCUUUGACGAGCAAUAAAAGAGAGGCAUCCUCCUCUUCUAAUGGAUUGGAUGUUGAAGAGCGCAGGAAUCUUGUCAAAACAUGGGGGAACCAGCCGCUAAGCGCGGCGGAUUCGGAGAUUUUUGAGAUAAUGGAGAAAGAGAAAGAGAGGCAGUUUAAAGGGAUCGAAUUGAUUGCGUCGGAGAAUUUUGUAUGUAGAGCGGUAAUGGAGGCUCUUGGAAGUCAUUUAACGAAUAAGUAUUCUGAGGGAAUGCCUGCAGCGCGAUAUUAUGGUGGGAAUCAGUACAUUGAUGAGAUUGAACUGCUGUGUUGUAAGAGAGCACUGGAGGCUUUUGGUUUGGAUUCUGAGAGUUGGGGAGUAAAUGUGCAGCCGUAUUCGUGUACUUCGGCUAAUUUCGCUGUGUAUACUGGGUUAUUGUUGCCGGGGGAUAGGAUUAUGGGGUUGGACACACCAUCUGGAGGGAAUACGAGUCAUGGCUAUUAUACCCCUCAUGGGCGGAAGGUUUCCGGUGCAUCUAUUUUCUUCGAGAGUUUGCCUUAUAAGGUCAAUCCUCAAACUGGGUAUAUUGAUUUCGAUAAGUUAGAGGAGAGGGCACUUGAUUUUAGGCCAAAAAUACUCAUUUGUGGUGGUAGCUCGUAUCCAAGGGAGUGGGGUUAUGCGAGGUUAAGGCAUAUCGCGGAUAAGUGUGGUGCUGUGCUUAUGUGUGAUAUGGCACAGAUUAGUGGUCUUGUUGCUGCUAAGGUGCACAUUACGAUUCUCUUGUUUUGCUUGUCAAUUCCUGCUUUAAUGUUAAGUCUUGUUGCUGCUAAGGAAUGUCUGAACCCCUUUGUUUACUGUGAUAUUGUUACCUCAACAACCCAUAAAAGUCUUCGAGGUCCAAGGGGAGGCAUCAUUUUCUAUAGGAAGGAUACAAAACCAAGGAAAAGGGGGAUCCAUCUAGGUCAAGGAGAUGAGAGUGAUCAAUAUGAUUUCGAGGAUAAGAUUAAUUUUGCUGUUUUUCCAUCAUUGCAAGGUGGACCACAUAAUAACCACAUCGCUGCUCUUGCCAUAGCCUUUAAACAAGUGGCUACCCCUGAGUACAAGGCAUACAUGCAACAGGUGAAGAAAAACGCACAGUAUUUAGCAGCUGCUUUACUGAGAAGAAAAUGCAGGCUAGUAACUGGAGGCACAGAUAACCAUUUGCUACUCUGGGAUCUCAGGCCUUUGGGAUUAACAGGUAAAGCUUAUGAAAAGGUCUGCGAGUUGUGCCACAUCACAGUAAAUAAAAUUGCUAUUUUUGGGGAGAAUGGAACUAUUACUCCUGGAGGUGUAAGGAUUGGCACUCCUGCCAUGACUUCAAGAGGUUGCCUGGAAUCUGAUUUUGAGACAAUUGCUGAUUUUCUCCUGAAAGCUGCACAUAUUGCUUGUAUGGUGCUGCGUGAACAUGGGAAGCUGCAGAAGGCUUUCAUGAAUGGUCUGCAAACCAAGAAAGAAAUUUUAGAGCUCCAGAAGCAAGUUGAAAAUUUUGCAACUCAGUUUGCAAUGCCAGGUUUUGACAUGUGAAUGGGUUUUGGGAAUGAAAUAUUUGAAGUGCCUCCCUGAGCUCUUUUAAACCUGGCAGUCAUCCCUUUGCGCCUCAUUUUGUUGGCUCCAGACAACAAACAGUCCUGGGCUUCUAUAGACAACAGUUUUGGUUACAUCUUCUGUGGUUGCCAACCUCCUGAAAUUGCAAGAUGUCAUAUUGCCACAGGGAGGGAUUUUGCCCUGUUGAUGGAUAAUAACAGGAUCUUGUUGGCUACAAACCCUUUGUCCUCUUGUAACCAGACAGCAGCAUCACCUCUCUGAUCGCUCUGGUAAAAAUGGUGGCCUGACCCUGGAAAAAGAGUAGGCCUGAUAUGAUAUACAGUUGAUCUUCGAUCUCUUGUAAUGCUACUGUCAUCACAUUUUGUCUGGAGCCAUUGUUGCUAUAGCUUGGAAUAAUUUUGUCUCAGGAUGCAGCUGUUUAGUUCGCUACCAUCUCUCUCAGAAUGAUAGACAGACUUUAGGUUUAAGCAACUGGUGGAUGAUAGAUGUUGCAGAUUUUUAGCGAUGCACAUUCCUCAUACUGGAUCAUUUCAUAUUGGUGUUCAACUCUUUAGGUGUAUCCAUGACUGUCAACUUCUUUUGAAGGUAUUCAUUUGAACAUAUGAUCUGGUCUCAUAUUGUUUUUGCGUCUUAUGGA